rnacentral:rRNA from 1 species
ACGGAGGGUGCGAGCGUUGUCCGGAUUUACUGGGCGUAAAGGGCGCGUAGGCGGCAUGAUCAGUCGGUUGUGAAAGACUUGGGCUCAGCCUGAGUAAGCGAUCGGGACGGUCAAGCUGGAGCGUGGUAGAGGGACGUGGAAUGCCGGGUGUAGUGGUGAAAUGCGUAGAUAUCCGGCGGAACACCGGUGGUGAAAACGGCGUCCUGGGCCAUAGCUGACGCUGAGGCGCGAGAGCGUGGGGAGCGAACCGGAUUAGAUACCCGGGUAGUCCACGCCGUAAACGGUGGAUACUAGGUGUGGGGGGUAUCGACCCCUUCCGUGCCGGCGCGAACGCAGGAAGUAUCCCGCCUGGGGAGUACGGCCGCAAGGCUA